GUUCCCGGUAGCUUGGUUUUUGUGUUGAGCCUAGCCUAUGUUGGCGUUGGUUUUGGUUGGAUAAGCGAAUGAGGCAUAUCAAUUCAUUAAAUGAGAC